AACACUCGGCUCGCUCGGCUGACGACACGCAAUGGAGCGGGCGUGUUUAUAACGGCGUCUCUUAUUUUGAUCAAUGUGGUAAUCGUGAGCUUAACGAUCGCGCUUCGCGUACGUCGCUUGCUUUCGCGUCAAAAAUCAUCGCGAUUGUGCGUCUCCUUCCGUCGCGGUAGAUAAAUUCCCGCGUACAGACGAGAAAAUCGAUUAUUCGUCAUUAAUUAACGCGAUCACCAUUAAUUAGCGCGUGAUCGCCGUUAAUCGCGGCGCGUCUCAGGCCGUUCGAAACCCUCGCGGAAUUAAACCUCCCUUCACGGCGUACAAGAGACGUCAAGAUGCUCCAUUUAUCAAGACACUUAUCGUAUUAUUGGGGUCGCUUUUCGGGAGGGGGGAGGGGGGACGCCGAAAACAUCGAAUGGGUGCCCUUUCGAAGGGUAUUCAAUGGACAAUUAAUUGUUUCCCCGAUUCUCGAGGCGCUCGAUUUUGGGGGUUAACGUGUCGCGCGUUGUGAAGUUGCCGCAAACGGUGGAAUUUUUCCUACGUGACAACGCGUCAGCGUCUGUAGUCCGUAAUGAACGUCGUGAGUGGGUGAGUGUGUGCGUGUGUGUACAAGUGCGGUAAGUACGGCGCGGACAAGCGUGCCAUGCUUUCGCGUUGCUCGUUUGCACGUUGCUCCGGAGUGCGUCGCGCAUACAAUAAGCGUGUCGGGAGUGUCGGGGCAAAGUGGCGAGCUGUCAUUCGCGCCCGCGUUAAUUAGCGCGCGGCAUCGCGGUAAUUAGCGAUUUUCCGAGCAGAUCCAUGUCUAGGGGCGCGAACGUUCGGAACAAUGGAACGGCUUUCGCAGGAAGACGACGAUAUCGGACGCGGAUGUGUCGCGGCUGACGAGUUAUAUUUAUGUCUAUUGGAGUCUAAAGUUUGAGCAAUGUGGUCGAUUCAAUUUCUAAGAUAAGGUGUGUGAUAAGGCAGUGUCCGAGUGCACCAACCAAUCGAAUAACGGCAAGGGAGAAAGGAAACGGGCCAGUCGUUGAAAAGACUGCACUUAACGCGGCGGAUAUAUAUCGCUCUGCAGGAUGGGGUGGAAGUGAAAUGUGGCCGCGCUUACCGGACCGGCUAAACGUACUAUUUAUUGUUCGGUCGUCGGUUUACUUCAGAGAUUCUGCGCCCUUCGUAAGGACGCGUAUUUACCAACCAACAACCAAAAUUGCUUCCAUUCAAAUUAAAUGCCUAACGCGACAGACAAUCGUAAUGCCUUUCCGAACUCAACAGUAUGUUGACACAUUUACAAAUUAUUUAAAAAAUUAUACUAACCGAACAGCGACAUAUUCGCUUGAUUUAUACUGAUUUCUUAUCACUGUCAUGUAGAAAUCUAUUUAACUCUAAUCGACUCGUUAUCUAUACUUUUUAUUCUAUGUAACCAAUUAAGAAAAAAGAAACAAUUAUUCUUCUUUUAUAAAAAA